AUUGAACGCUGGCGGCAUGCUUUACACAUGCAAGCCGAACGGUAACAGGUUAAGCUGACGAGUGGCGAACGGGUGAGUAAUGCAUCGGAACGUGCCCGAUCGUGGGGGAUAACGCAGCGAAAGCUGCGCUAAUACCGCAUACGAUCUGAGGAUGAAAGCGGGGGACCGUAAAGCCUCGCGCGAUCGGAGCGGCCGAUGUCAGGUUAGGUAGUUGGUGGGGUAAAGGCCUACCAAGCCGACGAUCUGUAGCUGGUCUGAGAGGACGACCAGCCACACAGGGCCUGAGACACGGCCCAGUCUGCCGAGGGAGGGAGCAGUGGGGAAUUUUGGACCAUGGGCGCAAGCCUGAUCCAGCAAUGCGGCGUGCAGGAGGAAGGCCAUCGGGUUGUAAGCUGCUUUUGUACGGGGCGAAAAGGCUCUCUCUAAUACAGGGGGCUCAUUCCGGUACCGUAAGAAUGAGCACCGGCUAACUACGUGCCUGCCGCCGCUGUAU
rnacentral:rRNA from 1 species